GCCCCUGUAGCUUAAUUGGAAGAGCAGUUCCCUUCUAAGGAAAAGGUUGGAGGUUCGAGUCCUCCCAGGGGCA
rnacentral:tRNA from 1 species